UGGUUAGAUUUGUAGUUAAAUCCUAUUUGGAUAAGAAUUAAUAUUUAAAUCUGUUUGAGAUAAAUUAAGAUUUAAAUAUUAAUUAGAGGAUAAAUCUAACUAGAUUAGGAUUAAUAUUUAAAUCUAUUAGAGAUUGAUUAAGAUAGAUUUAGAUAUUAAUUAAAGUAUGAAUCCUAAAUAUAUUAGGAUUGGGGUACGUUUUAAGUUGAGCAUUAUAAAUAGGCAUUGUGGCUCUCUUUUUU
rnacentral:lncRNA from 1 species